UACGAAGGGGGCUAGCGUUGCUCGGAAUCACUGGGCGUAAAGGGUGCGUAGGCGGGAUCUUAAGUCAGAGGUGAAAGCCUGGAGCUCAACUCCAGAACUGCCUUUGAUACUGGGAUUCUUGAGUUCGGGAGAGGUGAGCGGAACUGCGAGUGUAGAGGUGAAAAUUCGUAGAUAUUCGCAAGAACACCAGUGGCGAAGGCGGCUCACUGGCCCGAUACUGACGCUGAGGCACGAAAGCGUGGGGAGCGAACAGG
rnacentral:rRNA from 1 species